rnacentral:rRNA from 1 species
UACGUAGGGUCCGAGCGUUGUCCGGAAUUAUUGGGCGUAAAGAGCUCGUAGGCGGUCUGUCGCGUCGAAUGUGAAAACCCGGGGCUCAACUCCGGGCUUGCAUUCGAUACGGGCAGGCUAGAGUUCGGUAGGGGAGUCUGGAAUUCCUGGUGUAGCGGUGAAAUGCGCAGAUAUCGGGAGGAACACCGGUGGCGAAGGCGGCGACCUGGGUAGAUACUGACGCUGAGGUGCGAAAGCGUGGGGAGCAAACAGG